GAACCAGCUGAGCAGCACAGGACCACACGCAGUCUCACUGAGUCAGUAGACAUGGAGGAUGGGAAGCCUGAUCUGCUGCUGGUCAAAGAGGAGACAAUAGAAGAUGGACCAGAGAGCAUUGACUUGCUGAGGUGGACUAAAGAUGGGGGAGCAAGGUGGUUGGCUGGUGGCUAACAGAGGAGACUGGGCAGCCAUCUUGGAUUCCCAGACCCAGACGGGUUUAGCCAAGGGCCCAGGGGACAACAUCACCGAGCAGGCCAGGA